CGAAAACAGCGCUAACCUUUCAUCAACAAUGCCGCCACUUUACGCCGUGGAAUUCCUAAUUCGGCGAGAGAGAGCAGCGUCGCCGGGCGCGCCGACGGCAGCAGCCUUCAACCCCGCGGCGCCGAGGGCCCUUUUGUGGAGGAGGGAGGAUGGAGGGCGACGGCGAGGAGGGGCAUCGCCAACGGGCGGCGGCAAACAAGCAUCGCAGGCUGAUUCCACCAGCGAAGCAUCAAAACUUCGAAGCCGAAGGCUCUGCAUCCACAACAAACAGAGUCGAGUGCAGGAAACACAGAACCUGUCGUCUGCAGUCAGUGAAGCUCCGGUCCAGACUCCUGCACGAGGCC
ensembl:lncRNA